rnacentral:rRNA from 1 species
UACAGAGGGGGCAAGCGUUGUUCGGAAUUACUGGGCGUAAAGGGCGCGUAGGCGGCCUUCUAAGUCGAACGUGAAAUCCCCGGGCUCAACCCGGGAACUGCGUCCGAUACUGGAAGGCUUGAAUCCGGGAGAGGGAUGCGGAAUUCCGAGGUGUAGCGGUGAAAUGCGUAGAUAUCUGGAAGGAACACCGGUGGCGAAGGCGGCAUCCUGGACCGGUAG